rnacentral:misc_RNA from 1 species
AAGUCGUAACAAGGUUUCCGUAGGUGAACCUGCGGAAGGAUCAUUAACAAGUCACAACUGUUGACGUUGCUUGACGGCGGGGUUUUUCUAUGCCCCGUGGACGUCCUGCGGUCCUGGCCAGCGAUGACGCGCCCCCAACUUAAGUGCUGUUGCCGUCAAAUGCGGUAUUCCUGGCAUGGGGGGCGAAGAGCCGGUUGCACCCGUUUCAACCAUACCUGUGAACCAAAAACAAAACCUCUGCUUCGGCAGCACGCAAACCAGCAGUGUCUCAUGGGACGCUGUCGGUAGGGCGGUAAGGCUGCCAGAAGCCCACCAAUUCCAAACUAGUUGUUGCCAAAUUCUAUUACAAGUCUGAACUGAUAUACCAUUUCGUAUGGGAAAAUCACAUUAAAACUUUCAGCAACGGAUCUCUUGGUUCCC